rnacentral:misc_RNA from 1 species
AACUUUCGGCAACGGACCACUUGGCUCUCGCAUCGAUGAAGAACGCAGCGAAAUGCGAUACGUAAUGUGAAUUGCAGAAUUCAGUGAAUCAUCGAAUCUUUGGACGCACCUUGCGCCCCUUGGAAUUCCGAGGGGCCCUCCCGUUUGAGUGUCGUGAACGUCCUUCAACCUUUCUUGGUUUCUUGCCUGGGGAGGGCUUGGACUUUGGGGGUCUGUCAUUGCAUGCCUCUUUGAAGCCAGCUCCUCCUAAAUGGAUUAGUGUGGUCUGCUGUGCCGAUCCUUGACGUGAUAAGAUGUUCCUACGUCUUAGGUUUCGCACCGUCGCUUUAGACCCCGCUUCUAACCGUCUUGCAUUCAAGACAGAGUUUUAAACCUUGACCUCAAAUCGGGUGAGACUACCCGCUGAACUUAAGCAUAUCAAUAAGCGGAGGCU